rnacentral:tRNA from 1 species
UAUAGCUCAGUCGGUAGAGCAUGAGGCUCUUAAUCUCAGGGCCGUGGGUUUGAGCCCCACAUUGGGCAAAA